rnacentral:rRNA from 1 species
UGGGGAAUAUUGCACAAUGGGCGCAAGCCUGAUGCAGCGACGCCGCGUGGGGGAUGACGGCCUUCGGGCUGUAAACUCCUUUCGCCAGGGACGAAGCGUUUUGUGACGGUACCUGGAGAAGAAGCACCGGCUAACUACGUGCCAGCAGCCGCGGUAAUACGUAGGGUGCAAGCGUUGUCCGGAAUUACUGGGCGUAAAGAGCUCGUAGGUGGUUUGUCACGUCGUCUGUGAAAUUCCACAGCUUAACUGUGGGCGUGCAGGCGAUACGGGCUGACUUGAGUACUGUAGGGGUAACUGGAAUUCCUGGUGUAGCGGUGAAAUGCGCAGAUAUCAGGAGGAACACCGAUGGCGAAGGCAGGUUACUGGGCAGUUACUGACGCUGAGGAGCGAAAGCAUGGGUAGCAAACAGGAUUAGAUACCCUGGUAGUCCAUGCCGUAAACGGUGGGCGCUAGGUGUAGGGGCCUUUUGGGGUUUCUGUGCCGUAGCUAACGCAUUAAGCGCCCCGCCUGGGGAGUACGGCCGCAAGGCUA